rnacentral:rRNA from 1 species
GGGAUAAGCCCAGCACUGAACCUCGUGUCUCCGGAUACCGAGGAAUGUAGUGUUCAGGAGAGAGGUGGUUUGCCUGUCCGGUGAUUGUCCAAGUCCCCAUGAUCGGGGCUAGAGUCCGCAGAGGGUGUCAGGCCCGUAGUGACGCACCGCGACCGUGAACGCUUGAUCUCCUAAGAGUCGGGUUGCUUGAGAGUGCAGCCCUAAGCGGGAGGUAAACUCCUUCUAAGGCUAAAUACCGCCACGAGACCGAUAGCAAACAAGUACCGCGAGGGAAAGUUGAAAAGAACUUUGAAGAGAGAGUUCAAGAGUGCGUGAAACCGUUCAGGGGGUUAAACGGGUGGGCCCUCGAAGGUCGAACGGCAUCUACUCCCGUUACCUGCAUACGAGCCUGCGCUGGGACGAGUCGCAUUCUGCGGCCGCCGAGUGUGGUACGCUUGGGGCGUGCAGGGACCGCUAGUUGGAUGCCUAGUAGGACUCCGCAACCGGCUGGGGUGAUACGGUCGUCAGACGGGUCUUGAGGAGCGGCCUCCUUGUGGGGCUGUCUUUUUGAGAUUCCCGGCGACCACUCGGCCGUUGAGUGCUGCCUCGCUGUUCCUCAUGGAUGGACGAGCGUUUUGACCUUUGCGGGGAGAAGCGUUGUCGGUUCGUUCGAGGCUCCGGUGAGAAGCGCGGAGAGUAGGUCGGGUCCCACCCGACCCGUCUUGAAACACGGACCAAGGAGUCUAACAUGUGCGCGAGUCGUCGAGUUGUACCAAACUCGAAGGCGCAAUGAAAGUAAAGGCUAGGCUUGCCCUAGCUGAGGGGAGAUCCCGUUUCUGCUUCGGUAGCGCGGGCGCAUCCCCGGGGCGUCUAGACUGCGUUGCCAGUCGGACGCACCUAGAGCGUACACGUUGGGACCCGAAAGAUGGUGACCUAUGCCUGGCCAGGACG